AUGCAAGUCGAACGGCAGCAUAGAGAGCUUGCUCUCUGAUGGCGAGUGGCGAACGGGUGAGUAAUAUAUCGGAACGUGCCUAGUAAUGGGGAAUAACUAGCUGAAAGGUUAGCUAAUGCCGCAUACGACCUACGGGUGAAAGCAGGGGAUCUUCGGACCUUGCGUUAUUAGAGCGGCCGAUAUCUGAUUAGCUUGUUGGUGGGGUAAUGGCCUACCAAGGCGACGAUCAGUAGCUGGUCUGAGAGGACGAUCAGCCACACUGGAACUGAGACACGGUCCAGACUCCUACGGGAGGCAGCAGUGGGGAAUUUUGGACAAUGGGGGCAACCCUGAUCCAGCCAUUCCGCGUGAGUGAAGAAGGCCUUCGGGUUGUAAAGCUCUUUCGCAAGAGAAGAAAACUUGCUAUCUAAUAUAUAGUAAGCAUGACGGUAUCUUGACAAGAAGCAC
rnacentral:rRNA from 1 species